UGGCUCAGGAUGAACGCUGGCGGCGUGCUUAACACAUGCAAGUCGAACGAUGAUCYUCAGCUUGCUGGGGGGAUUAGUGGCGAACGGGUGAGUAACACGUGAGUAACCUGCCCUUGACUCUGGGAUAAGCCUGGGAAACUGGGUCUAAUACCGGAUAUGACCAUCUGGCGCAUGUCAUGGUGGUGGAAAGCUUUUGUGGUUUUGGAUGGACUCGCGGCCUAUCAGCUKGUUGGUGGGGUAAUGGCCUACCAAGGCGACGACGGGUAGCCGGCCUGAGAGGGUGACCGGCCACACUGGGACUGAGACACGGCCCAGACUCCUACGGGAGGCAGCAGUGGGGAAUAUUGCACAAUGGGCGAAAGCCUGAUGCAGCGACGCCGCGUGAGGGAUGACGGCCUUCGGGUUGUAAACCUCUUUCAGUAGGGAAGAAGCGAAAGU
rnacentral:rRNA from 1 species